AUUGAACGCUGGCGGCAGGCCUAACACAUGCAAGUCGAGCGAGCGGCGGACGGGUGAGUAGUGUAUGGGGAUCUGCGCGAUAGAGGGGGAUAAAUACUGGAAAGGGUCGCUAAUACCGCAUACUAUGGUAUGCACCCAUAUGGGAUUCGCUAGGAGGUGGGGUAAAGGCUCACCUAGGAGACGAUCUCUAGCUGGUCUGAGAGGAGGACCAGCCACACUGGGACUGAGACACGGCCCAGACUCCUACGGGAGGCAGCAGUGGGGAAUAUUGCGCAAUGGGCGCAAGCCUGACGCAGCCAUGCCGCGUGAAUGAAGAAGGCCUUCGGGUGGUAAAGUUCUUUCGGUAGCGAGGCGUUAACGACAGAAGAAGCACCGGCUAACUCCGUGCCAGCAGCCGCGGUAAUAC
rnacentral:rRNA from 1 species